GAUGAACGCUAGCUACAGGCUUAACACAUGCAAGUCGAGGGGAAACGCUGAGAGAGCUUGCCCUCUUAGGCGUCGACCGGCGCACGGGUGAGUAACGCGUAUCCAACCUACCCAUUACAGGGGGAUAACCUUGCGAAAGUAAGACUAAUACCCCAUGGCAUUUUAUGGUGGCAUCAUUAUAGGAUUAAAGAUUUAUUGGUAAUGGAUGGGGAUGCGUCUGAUUAGCUUGUUGGCGGGGUAACGGCCCACCAAGGCAACGAUCAGUAGGGGUUCUGAGAGGAAGGUCCCCCACAUUGGAACUGAGACACGGUCCAAACUCCUACGGGAGGCAGCAGUGAGGAAUAUUGGUCAAUGGGCGAGAGCUUGAACCAGCCAAGUAGCGUGCAGGAUGACGGCCCUAUGGGUUGUAAACUGCUUUUAUAGGGGAAUAAAGUGAGCUACGUGUAGUUUAUUGCAUGUACCCUAUGAAUAAGGACCGGCUAAUUCCGUG
rnacentral:rRNA from 1 species